AGUGAACGCUGGCGGUAGGCCUAACACAUGCAAGUCGAACGGCAGCACAGUAAGAGCUUGCUCUUACGGGUGGCGAGUGGCGGACGGGUGAGGAAUACAUCGGAAUCUACUUUUUCGUGGGGGAUAACGUAGGGAAACUUACGCUAAUACCGCAUACGACCUACGGGUGAAAGCAGGGGAUCUUCGGACCUUGCGCGAUUGAAUGAGCCGAUGUCGGAUUAGCUAGUUGGCGGGGUAAAGGCCCACCAAGGCGACGAUCCGUAGCUGGUCUGAGAGGAUGAUCGGCCAAAUGGAAACUAAAAAACGUUCAAACCCCCUACGGAAGGCACAAUGGGGAAAAAUUGACAAAUGGGGGCAACCUGGAUCAAGCAAAACGCGUGGGUGGAAGAAGGCCUCCGGGUUGUAAACCCUUUUUGUGGGAAAAAAAAGCCACAGGUUUAAAACCCGGUUGUCCUGAGGUACCCAAAGAAUAAGCACCGGCUAACUUCGUG
rnacentral:rRNA from 1 species